UCUUUUCAAGCACAACAGAAUAAGUAAAAGAUCCCCUUCAUUGAUAUAUUCAUAAUCAAACAUACAUUGUUCGUAGAGUUAGUUUGGUUAUAAGCAGUUAAAACAUACAUAGCAGUUAUAGCAGUUAUAGUACAUAAUGUAAAUGACAUAAUGUAAAAGACACAAGGGGUUUUAAGUGGUUCAGAGACUCAAGCUCCUAAUCC
rnacentral:lncRNA from 1 species